rnacentral:tRNA from 1 species
GCUGGAUUAGCUCAGUUGGUAGAGCGAUUGAUUUGUAAUCAAUAGGUCGGGGGUUCGAAUCCGUCAUCCAGCUCCA